UUGCAUGGUUGGGCCCUCCCCCUCUCAACACAUCAAGAGGUGAAGGGAGAGGUUGAGGGAGGCUCUGCUCAGCUGUGAGGCAACAGAAGGCAGGAUCGGUGCUGACCUCCGCCAUGGCCUGGUCCCCUCUCCUCCUCACCCUCCUCGCUCACUGCACAGGGAUUUGGGCUCAGUCGGGGCCGAAUCAACCAUCCUCGGUGUCUGGGGCCCUGGGCCAGAGGGUCACUAUCUCCUGCACUGGAGUUGGUAGUUCCGUGGAUUGGUACCAACAAAUCCCAGGAAAGGCCCCCAAAACCAUCAUCUAUGUUAAUAGCAACCGACCCUCAGGGGUCCCUGAUCGAUUCUCCGGCUCCAAGUCUGGCAGCACAGGCACCCUGACCAUCACUGGGCUCCAGGCCGAGGACGAGGCUGAUUAUUACUGCUCAUCGUGGUACAGCAGUGGCAUUGGUGACUGGUCAGUGUUGACUCAGCCGCCGUCCGUGUCGGGGUCCCUGGGCCAGAGGGUCACCAUCUCCUGCACUGGAAGCAGCUCCAACAUCGGGGGUGGCCCCUCUCCAUCCUGCAGCAGCUCCCCGGGGGAAUCAGCUUUCUCCCCAGUGCACCCCAUCCUGCACCAUAACCAGGGUAUCCGGGAGGCCAACCCCUAG